CACGUAGGCACCAAGCGUUGUCCGGAUUUAUUGGGCGUAAAGAGCUCGUAGGCGGUUCAGUAAGUCGGGUGUGAAAACUCUGGGCUCAACCCAGAGACGCCACCCGAUACUGCUGUGACUUGAGUACGGUAGGGGAGUGGGGAAUUCCUGGUGUAGCGGUGAAAUGCGCAGAUAUUAGGAAGAACACCAGUGGCGAAGGCGGCUCACUGGCUCGGUACUGACGCUGAGGCGCGAAAGCGUGGGGAGCAAACAGG
rnacentral:rRNA from 1 species